GUGAAUCAUCGAAUUUUUGAACGCAAAUUGCACUCUCCUCUGAUAGUAUGCCUGUUUGAGUUUCAGCCUAUAAAAAUCGACAUCGUUGCUGUUUCACUUCGGCGUUCGUCUGAAAUUGGGUCAUCUUAAAUCCUUUUGAUUUAAGCGACUUAAAAUUUUCGUUGUAUUCCAUGAACGUUUCUAAGAUCUAUUUCUGUACACGUUUAAGUUAUCGAUUUUUACUAGACGUGACCAUCAUAGCGGAUCGCGUCCAUAAUCUUUCAUUAACUGACCUCAUACAGGUAAUAGUACUCGCUGAA
rnacentral:misc_RNA from 1 species